GCCAGCAGCCAUGUCACCCUGCAACUCACAACUGGUUGUCCACCAGCAGGUGUGAGCCUGGUCAGUACCUGGGUGGGAGACCUCCUGGGAAAGGUAAGGUUGCUGCUGGAA
rnacentral:rRNA from 1 species